GCAAGAUAUGAAAAUGAAGCUGUGCUUUGAUCAUCUGUGGUAUCUUUGCCAACAGUGCUCUGGACAAUUGAUAAUUGGAUAUUCAUCCUUUAAUUCAGUGCUACUUAUUCUCUCUGUCUCUCUCUCCUUACUCUCCAUGAUUUCCAAAGGAGAGUUUCCAUAUUUUGAUGAAUUCAUUACCACUUCCAUUAACACUGGUUAACACAUCAUCCGAGACCUUGACUAUUUAUUUGUUUUCUUCCUUAUUUUUUAAAUGAAACAGAUCUUCAUUACUGUUUAAUUAUCCUUAUUUAUCUUCUUAAAGGCCAGUUUUAAAAAGCAGUUCAAGCAGCUCAGCCACUUUGCCAUCAAUAGCUCAGUCAUUUGAGCAUAAUCAUUAAGCUUAUCUCCUUAUUCAUUUAAUGUGAGGCCUCCUUUAUCUCUGGUUUGCCUUCCUUUCUUUUCUUUAUUAUGUUUGUAUUAUUACCCUUUGCACCACUGAUCACCAUAAAUACUUCUUGGUCGUAACUCUGGAACCUCUUCCAUGAUUCAUGCUAUCGUGUGAGAGUUCUAUAGACAGACUUCAUUUACUCCUUUUUUUCCCUUCUGUUUUUGCACAGUUGUCCUUGCCACUGGAUAUUGCUUCUGUUUUUUCCAGUGAUGUUUAGCUCUGUGGUGAAACCAUUGACCCUGAGGGAAAUACUUGCUCCAGUUUUACAAGGUGAGAAGUGGUACAGAACCACAGGGUGCAGCUAACUGGUCAAGGACUUCCUCAGAUACACCUGCUCCGGCCCCAGGGGAACACACACCAGGCUUCUCAGGAAAGCCAACCCCUGUUCUGCACAGUACAGCCCAAAGGCCAAUGCACCUGAGGAAAGGCAGACGAUCCCUAUUGCCAUCCUAGGCAGUGGGCCUCAAGAGUCAUCACGACACACAGCUCUUCUCAUACUGUGGACCAGCAGCAACCCAACAACCAUAGUUUUGUAUAGCGCCCAAAGAUUUACAGAAGACUCCACACCUUUCACAAGAACCUGGUGAGGAUGCAGCACGACGACUGAGUUACAGCACCUGGAGGAAGUGACCUAGUUUGUACUUAGAGCAAUGACCUCUAAGCCAGACUGUCUGGAUAUGUAGUGCCAGUCCCGCCACUAACCAGAUGUGUG